AAGAUUAUAAGUUAAUUAAGACUAUAAAAUUUCAAAUUUUAUUGUGCAACAUAGUUGCUAUUCUUG
rnacentral:tRNA from 1 species